ACACUCCUGCGGGAGGCAGCAGUGGGGAAUUUUGGACAAUGGGCGAAAGCCUGAUCCAGCAAUGCCGCGUGUGUGAAGAAGGCCUUCGGGUUGUAAAGCACUUUUGUCCGGAAAGAAAUCCUUGGCUCUAAUACAGUCGAGGGAUGACGGUACCGGAAGAAUAAGCACCGGCUAACUACGUGCCAGCAGCCGCGGUAAUACGUAGGGUGCGAGCGUUAAUCGGAAUUACUGGGCGUAAAGCGUGCGCAGGCGGUUUGCUAAGACCGAUGUGAAAUCCCCGGGCUCAACCUGGGAACUGCAUUGGUGACUGGCAGGCUAGAGUAUGGCAGAGGGGGGUAGAAUUCCACGUGUAGCAGUGAAAUGCGUAGAGAUGUGGAGGAAUACCGAUGGCGAAGGCAGCCCCCUGGGCCAAUACUGACGCUCAUGCACGAAAGCGUGGGGAGCAAACAGGAUUAGAUACCCCGGUAGUCCC
rnacentral:rRNA from 1 species